rnacentral:rRNA from 1 species
AUUGAACGCUGGCGGCAGGCCUAACACAUGCAAGUCGAGCGUAUGAAGGGAGCUUGCUCCUGGAUUCAGCGGCGGACGGGUGAGUAAUGCCUAGGAAUCUGCCUGGUAGUGGGGGAUAACGUCCGGAAACGGGCGCUAAUACCGCAUACGUCCUGAGGGAGAAAGUGGGGGAUCUUCGGACCUCACGCUAUCAGAUGAGCCUAGGUCGGAUUAGCUAGUUGGUGUGGUAAAGGCCUACCAAGGCGACGAUCCGUAACUGGUCUGAGAGGAUGAUCAGUCACACUGGAACUGAGACACGGUCCAGACUCCUACGGGAGGCAGCAGUGGGGAAUAUUGGACAAUGGGCGAAAGCCUGAUCCAGCCAUGCCGCGUGUGUGAAGAAGGUCUUCGGAUUGUAAAGCACUUUAAGUUGGGAGGAAGGGCAGUAAGUUAAUACCUUGCUGUUUUGACGUUACCAACAGAAUAAGCACCGGCUAACUUCGUG